AAGGGUGCAGUGAUGAACCAUCUUUCGUGGACUAGAGUUUCUGAUCUGGGAAUUUGUCCCAGAAGCUGAAGACUAACCCUUGGCUGUCUGAGUACUCUU